rnacentral:rRNA from 1 species
AUGGGUGUUUGCGGGCAUCACGUAGCGGUUUGGGACUAUGUUGUUCUGGGUUGCAUUCCUAUUUCUGACAAAUUGCAGGGGAUAAUUCAUCUUAUGCAUAUGUCAGUGCGCUGGAUUUUUUUGAGUCAAGAAGAAUUUAAAGGCAGUGGUCGUGUUUCAAUCGACUUUCACACUAACAAUGCAUGGGAACGGUGCUCCAUUCUCCUUGGGAAUUGCAUAAGGAUACUUCCAGUGCAGCUCUCAUGCUCGUGGUUUUUGAAACGGGGCAAAAAGGAUUCAGAUUUCAGUAAUCAUGACAAGCUCUUUCACAGCAAGCAGCAAUUGGGUGCUCUGUGUACAACAUUCCCGAGUAGCGUCUGUCUUCAGUUCGUGCAAUUUUGUCCGUUAUGGUCUUUUGCUCCAGCUGGUAUCACAAUGCAAUGGCAGUGGGACAAGCAUCAAUCGCGGGACAAAAAUUCACAACAUAUUUUUAUGUUGCCUCGUUCCCCUUCUGAACCAAUAUCAUAUACUUCAGCUGGUGGCGAUCACCUUGAGCAAAUGUGGGACCCUGGAGGCCUUGCAAGCUAUAUAUGCAGUACAUCUGCAUCGACUUCCCUGAUGCAUUACUUGUUUGAAGCCUGGAUUGCAUAUGCGACUCCUAUAUGCACCCAGUUGAGAAUGGAGAAGCCAAUGGCCAGCGGCGAACUAAAUCAGUGGAUGACCAUUCAUUUCUUGCCUGGAACAUGGGAGCUUGAUUACAUACUUGACAAGUUCAUAGAGCUAUGGGGGUUCUUGCUGCCAUUAUAUUGCCAGUCAUGCAAGUCCACGAGGAGCGGAAAAAUCUGUGUGUGGGGCGUACCUGAUGAUCUAGGGAGCUUCACGGUUGUCCAGGAAGACUAUGGGACUUCAGCUUCCAAUCAAGGCACUCUUCAAGGAGGGAGGGGUUUCAUCACUGGUGCUGUUGUCGUCGUCGUGCAGGGCUCCAUCAACCACAAGUACUACCUUAACUUCGAUCAAGACUAUGUUGGCACCGACCACUUCCUCGGCGCCUCUUUGGAUGGAGUCACCAUCGACCACGGCUACUACAACCUCCUCGUUCAAGUCAACCUCGACGUCGACUACCAUCAUGACUUCGACCUAGUCAAGGAACAUCGAGUGCAAUGGGAUCCCGGCGGUUCUCGGUGGUGUCGGCUUGGGGUCAAGCCGCAUUUCAAGGAGGGGGGGAUGUUAGGAGCCCUCCUACCAUCACAUGUUUGGGCUGGCCCUUUGGGCCAGCUAAGGGGGCCUGGCCCGUUCCGGAACCACCAGGGCGAUAAGAGCCUGGGAGGAGGCGACGUCGAGACCAUCCAGUGGAUCACGGACGAACCGGCGGCGGCUCCUUUCUCCUACCUUCUUCUUCCCCCCUGUUGCAAGCUUCCUCUGUUCCUCUCCUCCAUUGUGUAA